GGACCUGAUCCAGCCAUGCCGCGUGUGUGAAGAAGGCCUUUUGGUUGUAAAGCACUUUAAGCAGUGAAGAAGACUCUUCGGUUAAUACCCGGGGACGAUGACAUUAGCUGCAGAAUAAGCACCGGCUAACUCUGUGCCAGCAGCCGCGGUAAUACAGAGGGUGCAAGCGUUAAUCGGAAUUACUGGGCGUAAAGCGAGCGUAGGUGGCUUGAUAAGUCAGAUGUGAAAUCCCCGGGCUUAACCUGGGAACUGCAUCUGAWACUGUUAGGCUAGAGUAGGUGAGAGGGAAGUAGAAUUUCAGGUGUAGCGGUGAAAUGCGUAGAGAUCUGAAGGAAUACCGAUGGCGAAGGCAGCUUCCUGGCAUCAUACUGACACUGAGGCUCGAAAGCGUGGGUAGCAAACAGGAUUAGAUACCCUGGUAGUCCACGCCGUAAACGAUGUCUACUAGUCGUUGGGUCCCUUGAGGACUUAGUGACGCAGCUAACGCAAUAAGUAGACCGCCUGGGGAGUACGGCCGCAAGGUUAAAACUCAAAUGA
rnacentral:rRNA from 1 species